GAUGAACGCUAGCGGGAGGCCUAACACAUGCAAGUCGAACGGGAUUGAGAGCUUGCUCUCAUGAGAGUGGCGCACGGGUGAGUAACGCGUAUGCAACCUACCUGUAACAGAGGGAUAGCCCAUAGAAAUGUGGAUUAAUACCUCAUAGUUCUAUUAGAUCGCAUGAUUUUAUAGAUAAAACUCCGGUGGUUACAGAUGGGCAUGCGUGACAUUAGUUUGUUGGUGAGGUAACGGCUCACCAAGACUACGAUGUCUAGGGGUUCUGAGAGGAUGAUCCCCCACACUGGUACUGAGACACGGACCAGACUCCUACGGGAGGCUG
rnacentral:rRNA from 1 species